GACUUCCUGCCUGUCCCCGUCAUUCUUCAAAGCAAAGGACGAGAAAACACCUGCCUGUCUUUGCCUCACUUCCUGUCUGGCUCUGAGAUUCGGGAUCAGCUCAUACCGACCAGGACAUCCUGCCACCACUGCAGCAGCAGAGCAGAUGUUGAAGCACCGUGUUAACUGUUCAUCAUCAGUGGACACUUGCUGGACCACAGAGAGACGUGUUCUCCCUGCCAGUGUUGAGGUUUCUUCACAAAAGAUAAUAAGGUCUUCCUCCUCUGUGAUUCCUCCACUUCACAGUGAAGACACUCAGGACUGCAGAGAGCGCUGAACACAAAAGAAGCUGAACAUCAUGCAGCGUAUUCAGUUUCACUGGACUACAUGUUGAUCUGCUCUGCACUGCUCUCAGAGUUCAAGGUAUUUCAUUACUGUGAAUUAUAAACCUUUUUAGAAAGUUGAGUUUCUAACAAUAACUUCCUGUUUUAUUUUUGUCAGGAUCAGGUGUGUGACUGCAAGGAAGAGUCAUCAGUCAGUCAUCACUGUCCGAGUGACAGCCCCACCUUUAUGCAGCUUCAAGCUCCUCCCUAAACCAGCUGUAAAGGCCUCUCCUCCUCCAUGUAGCUAUAGUAACACUAUCCUGACGUGAUGACUGGAGCAGUGGAUCUACAGCCGCUGCACAGGUCAAAGGUCAUAAUGUUACAGGUCUUCAAAGCAUACACUACUAACUCAUGAACAGUAUUACUACAGGACACCUGUCUAUUUUGUUUGUUUCAUCUCUACCGUAUUUGAUCUAACAAUAUACGUUUUCCUUGUGUUUCAUCGCAUUUUUUUUGUUGAUUGUAUUUAUUUAUUUAUUAUUUUUUUAUUUGUCAUCCGUCCCUUUUCAGUCAGAUUUAUGAGAAAAUUAAGGAUGAAAAUGUUUGUUUGAUUGCCUCGUGCAUAUGAACAAAUUAACCUUGAAGAAAUGACAUAUUUGUAUCACAAUGAGUCAUUAGUAUGGGGUUUCAGCUGGUAGGUAUAUUCAAGGUUUUUCACAUGUGUACACCGAUCCUUAGGAUAACCUAAACUCUAAAAGAUUUAAUAGGAAAACAAAUCCUACAAAGCUUGGGUCCUAACCUUGAGUCAACAAGUGACUCUAACCCAUGUUCCAUCAAAAUAAGGAGAACCCAGUGUGUCUGUGAGCCUCAGUAAACUGAGCUUAACGCUGGGAUAGUCUAAACGACAAUGUUGUCAAGACUUAUCUGUCCAGGGCUCCUGGACCUUGAAGUCUUGAACUGAGUAUUAACCUAAGUCUGGAAACGAUGUGAAAAACCUUUGAUUGUAGGAAAUGAACCAUAUUGUUAACUAUUGAAACUAUAGUAAAUCUAUUCAUGAAUAACACAGAGACCAAUGUUCACAAAACUGUGUUGAUACAUUUCUCACUCUAAGAUUUUAUCUUUCACAAAAUACUCAAAAUAAUUAUGACCAAUACAACAGUACUUGUGCACUGUACUCAUCUAUAUUAUUUCAUUAUAUUUUGAUAGAAGAUAAUGAGUCAAAAAAUGAUGUAAAGACGGGAUCUUCUUUUGUGUUGUAUUUCAACUCUUAGCUUUGUUAAAUGCUGCACUUCAUCUUCCACACUGCCAAUUUUGAAAUUAAAAUAUCAUGUUAUCCUGCUGUGCUGGUCUUCACUUUUUGGCAUUAACACUUAUUCAGCAAAGCCAUUGGAAAUUUCAAUAUUUUCAGAAAUUGAACUUAAUUUCAUCUUUGAGCCUGCCGGUUCAUUGUCAUUUCUAUAUCAUGAGCAUUUUUUAAAUUCAUUUCAGUUUUUCGGCUUGUUGGUACGAUUUCGGAUUUCUGUAUUUUCAGCCGUUUUGUAAAUUAAUUUUAGCUAUUUUUUGCAAGAUUUCACAUUUAUU